rnacentral:rRNA from 1 species
CCUACGGGCGGCUGCAGUGGGGAAUUUUGGACAAUGGGCGCAAGCCUGAUCCAGCAAUGCCGCGUGCAGGAAGAAGGCCUUCGGGUUGUAAACUGCUUUUGUACGGAACGAAACGGUCUGGGUUAAUACCCUGGGCUAAUGACGGUACCGUAAGAAUAAGCACCGGCUAACUACGUGCCAGCAGCCGCGGUAAUACGUAGGGUGCAAGCGUUAAUCGGAAUUACUGGGCGUAAAGCGUGCGCAGGCGGUUUUGUAAGACAGGCGUGAAAUCCCCGGGCUCAACCUGGGAAUUGCGCUUGUGACUGCAAAGCUGGAGUGCGGCAGAGGGGGAUGGAAUUCCGCGUGUAGCAGUGAAAUGCGUAGAUAUGCGGAGGAACACCGAUGGCGAAGGCAAUCCCCUGGGCCUGCACUGACGCUCAUGCACGAAAGCGUGGGGAGCAAACAGGAUUAGAUACCCGUGUAGUC